rnacentral:sRNA from 1 species
CUGAGGCAGAAGAUAUCAAGUGCUGUAACACCUGUGAAGAUGUGCGGGAGGCAUAUCGCCGUCGAGGCUGGGCCUUCAAGAACCCAGAUACUAUUGAGCAGUGCCGGCGAGAGGGCUUCAGCCAGAAGAUGCAGGAGCAGAAGAAUGAAGGCUGCCAGGUGUAUGGCUUCUUGGAAGUCAAUAAGGUGGCCGGAAACUUCCACUUUGCCCCUGGGAAGAGCUUCCAGCAGUCCCAUGUGCACGUCCAUGACUUGCAGAGCUUUGGCCUUGACAACAUCAACAUGACCCACUACAUCCAGCACCUGUCAUUUGGGGAGGACUAUCCAGGCAUUGUGAACCCCCUGGACCACACCAAUGUCACUGCGCCCCAAGGUACCAGCCCGGGAGGCAGCCCCCAGCCGCAGAAGGCCGGCCGGGCACCCACACCCAGUGCUUUGUUUUCCCCUCAGCCUCCAUGAUGUUCCAGUACUUUGUGAAGGUGGUGCCCACUGUGUACAUGAAGGUGGACGGAGAGGUGAGUCAGGGAGCUCCCUACCAGAGUCUCCUGCGCGGUGCCAAGCACUGGAGUUCCUGCAUUUUGUUCCGUCAGCCUGGGGAGUGAAAGCUGCCUCGUCCUCACAUGGCCAAUAAAAGACUGAGGCACAGAGAGGGUGAGGGAUUUGCCCUCCCAGGCAG